rfam:Oryza glumipatula chromosome 3, whole genome shotgun sequence.
UUUAAGUGCAACCAUAAAUUCCGUGCUCAACUUUAAUCGUUCGUCUUAUUUGAAUUUUUUAUAGUUAAUAUUUUUAUUGUUAAGAGAUGAUAAAACAUGAAUAGUCAUUUUUACGUGACUUAUGUUUUUUAAAUUUUUUUCAAAUAAGACAGACGAUCAAAGUUGUGCACGUAAAAUCAUGACUGCACUUAAA